GGGGUCGUGAGAUAAUCAGGUAGUCUGCGAGGCUCCAGACCUCGUCGUGGGGGUUCAAAUCCCUCCGACCCCA
rnacentral:tRNA from 1 species